rnacentral:rRNA from 1 species
UACGUAGGGGGCUAGCGUUGUCCGGAAUCAUUGGGCGUAAAGAGCGUGUAGGCGGUCCGGUAAGUCCGCUGUGAAAGUCGGGGGCUCAACCCUCGAAUGCCGGUGGAUACUGUCGGACUAGAGUACAGAAGGGGCAACUGGAAUUCUCGGUGUAGCGGUGAAAUGCGUAGAUAUCGAGAGGAACACCUGCGGCGAAGGCGGGUUGCUGGGCUGAUACUGACGCUGAGGCGCGAAAGCCAGGGGAGCGAACGGG